UGGUUGCGGUUAAGGGAACUAAGUUUUGUUCCUUCGGAUGUGGCCCAUGCAUGCAUGCCCAAAAUGUUCCUCAAAGGGCCGUGUGGCUGCAGGUUUUUGUUCCAACCAACCAAGAGCACAUAGUUUGACCAAUCAGCUGUCUGAAGACUGAGACCAGUUGAUUAAACCUGUCAACUCAGGUGUGUGUGGUUGGAACAAAAACCUGCAGCCACAGUGGGUGCACAAACUGUUUUGUGCACGUUUGUGCACCCACCAAAUAGUAAUAUAUAAACUGCGGUCGUAUGUCGAAGCGUCAAUUCACCGGCUCGCUACAAUAUCCAGGGCUUAACUGAAAGCUGAGGUGUUAAUUAGUGUCCUGCUCUAAAUAAGGAUGGGAAGGUGUUGGUGUAACAGCUUGAGUUAAGAGGUUCUCUGUAGCAAUUUCAAGAUCAGACUGACCUGUAUUGGCCAAAUAUCCUUUACACGUGACAAUUCAUUAAGUGGGUGCAGAGGCACUGGAGUGCCUGACAUUCUGCAAUUACGGCCCAUAGUUGUGGUUCAUGACCCCAGAAUGGACCAACGGUGACAACGACCAGGAACGCUAAUGGAAAUAGAGAAAUGAGGGGACAAGAUGGCUGACACACUCUUAGCAAAGGGCCCGACCGCCCUGGAAGAGAAUUGAGAGGACCCACAUAACGAGAAGAUUGGUCGGACGACGCCAUUAAAACCCAGCGAACCAGUGUCACCCCAAGAUGAAGGUCAGGCUGUUUGGUUCAAGAGCAGUUGAACAGUAAAAGACAACGGGGCAGACGAAAUGUCUCCACUCUUCCACGAUGACUCCCGCAUCCUUCAGACUUAAAGUCAUGUGGAGGGCUUAAGGUUAGCUGUUGCUAAGCUUCCACCACAGUUGACUUAAGAGUCAGCAGUCAGCCACAUCAUGAAAGAGGGCAGAGGCACAAAAGGAGGUGUUGGUGACAGGAAGUGAGGACGGAUUAUAGAGAUGGAUUUGGAUGCUGGUGAAGGGCAGCCAGAUGGUGAGAAUUAAGGAAAAACAGUGAGCAGCAAAGCUUAUCAAGGCAAUUGAAAUUCAGCAGUCUACCGCCGGGCGCUAGGCUAUAAACAUAGCUGCUGUUCCAGCUGAGGCCCAGUGUGCCUCAGUGCCGAGGAAGAUCAUCAUCUAACCUCCUGCUAUAUCCAGUAAGCUUCAAUGGUUUUAUAUCUGCAUACAAAAACCCUGUAUUUCUUGGAGAAGGAUAGUUUGGCAAGUAGUUUGAAAGAACAUUCCAUACCCCCAAAAUUGCAUUUUAAUCUCAAAGUUGUUUCAUCUGUAAUCCUAAGAGUUCGGUAAUAAAGUGAAGGAACAAAAAAGGUUUGAGGUGAUUUUAUUUAUUUAUUUUUUUUGUAUCUGUAAAGCACAGCGUUUACAGAAAUUGUUCAUAGCGUCUAUGCUAGACAUACACUUCUCUCCUGUAUUCAGUUCCAGUCAGAUAGUUGGAGUAGACUUUACAUAAGAUUCGCUGAAUUUCGAGUCACCCCUGUCAGCCUGCGGGUAUUACUGUCAGGGUGCUGUGAUGCGGAACACUGACCUGUUCUUUCCUAUGGUUUAACAAAGUGGCAUCUCAAACAUGCAGGAUUUGUCUCAUUUCAAUACCGUGCACUUUUCUUCCCUCUUAUGUGGCAACCCAAAGGAUAAUACUAAUUAAAAAAAUGUUUUCCAUAUUAAAACAUAGGGGAAAACUAUAUUGGACUGUUUUGUUUUUUUUUUGUUUUUUUUUAGCAGUUACCACUUUUGUAAGUUUGGAAACUUUUCAGAUUUUCUGUGGGUCAAAUCACCGCUAAAUAGCUGAUUAUUACCUUUCCCAAUACGUGUUUAAAGCUUCAUGUACAUUUCUACACAAUACCUGAGUUAAAAUCCGAGUGUUAUUUAACGACUUAACAGCAAAACUUAA